rnacentral:rRNA from 1 species
GGAUUGGCGUGUCGGUCGUGCCUUACGGGGUAUGAACUGGCGUCGUCGAUUUCUCACCUUCUGGAGAAUCACGAUGCCCUUAAUUGGGUGUCGUGUGGAACCAGGACCUUUACCUUGAAAAAUUAGAGUGUUUAAAGCAGGCAUUUUUGCUCGAAUACAUUAGCAUGGAAUAAUAAAAUAGGACGGUUUGGUUCUAUUUUGUUGGUUUCUAGGAUCACCGUAAUG